UACGGGGGGGGCAAGCGUUGUUCGGAAUUACUGGGCGUAAAGGGCUCGUAGGCGGCCAACUAAGUCAUACGUGAAAUCCCUCGGCUUAACCGGGGAACUGCGUCUGAUACUGGAUGGCUUGAGUUCGGGAGAGGGAUGCGGAAUUCCAGGUGUAGCGGUGAAAUGCGUAGAUAUCUGGAGGAACACCGGUGGCGGAGGCGGCAUCCUGGACCGAUACUGACACUCAUACGCGAGAGCGUGGGUAGCAAACAGG
rnacentral:rRNA from 1 species